rnacentral:rRNA from 1 species
AGUGAACGCUGGCGGUAGGCCUAACACAUGCAAGUCGAACGGCAGCACAGAGGAGCUUGCUCCUUGGGUGGCGAGUGGCGGACGGGUGAGGAAUACAUCGGAAUCUACUCUGUCGUGGGGGAUAACGUAGGGAAACUUACGCUAAUACCGCAUACGACCUACGGGUGAAAGCAGGGGAUCUUCGGACCUUGCGCGAUUGAAUGAGCCGAUGUCGGAUUAGCUAGUUGGCGGGGUAAAGGCCCACCAAGGCGACGAUCCGUAGCUGGUCUGAGGGGAUAAUCAGCCACACUGGAACUGAGACACGGUCCAUACUCCUACGGGAGGCAGCAGUGGGGAAUAUUGGACAAUGGGCGCAAGCCUGAUCCAGCCAUACCGUGUGGGUGAAGAAGGCCUUCGGGUUGUAAAGCCCUUUUGUUGGGAAAGAAAUCCAUCUGGUUAAUACCCGGGUGGGAUGACGGUACCCAAAGAAUAAGCACCGGCUAACUUCGUGCCAGCCGCCGCCGUAA